CUUUCCCUGCCUGGUGCGCCAAGACCAAUAGUUCCUUGAACCGAUGCGCAAGCAUCUGGUGUGGGCCAUAUAGUGUGGGCGUGAGCGCCUUGUGACUCAUAGAGUAUGACUUCGGGUUAUAUUCUCCCUGAAGAACUUGGUGUACCCGAAACAUUAUUGCCAUGCCGCCUUGAACCUACUGGGUUCAGGAUGACGGUCUAGCGGCCAAGGUGGGGAAUCU
rnacentral:other from 1 species